rnacentral:lncRNA from 1 species
GAUGGUCUUACUCCAUACACUAAGUGUCUCAGGUACCUUACAAGGACCUUCUUGUUUCUCCUAGCAGAAUUUGUCAAGGUGGAUAUCUGAUUAAAGAUGGGAGAAAUGUAUGCUUUCUCCUGGGAAUGUAAAAAGAAAGCACAGAUGUAGUCAGAAUUGAGUUUGCAUUUCAAUGGCAUUGAGAGUUGUAUUGUGAAGACCUGGUAAUCCACAGACCUUCAUAACCUACAGUCAUGGAGAAGCAGCAGAUAUGGCACAUCACUAAUAAAACUCAUCAACUAUGGAGCUGUUUCCCUAGGGUAUUUUCCAAGAAAUUCACAUGUAAAUCCAGGCAGUGAAGCGGGGCUUCUUUCAGUAAGAUCUGAAAUGUCAAAACAGGUAAAAUGUUCAGAAGGUGAAACAUUCUCAAAGUUGAGAGCCACAUCAGUCUCUCUGCUUCAGUUUGGGGGACACAAGUUGAUCAUCAUGAUGAGGAAGAAUGUUGGGGAGGUUUAGAGUGUGGAGCUUGGAGCCAGGGUAUUUAGGUGCAAAUCCUGAUUAUGC